CACCUCUGCUUUGUGCUACAGAGCCAGCAGGAGCUCCUGCCACAGCGGGCAUCCAGCUCUGCGUGUCGGCGAAGGCAGCCACCAGCAGCGGCGAGCGGGUCGGACUGAUGGAGCUGUGGUUACUGGAUCGCGUUUGUCAAUAAGUGUCCGUGAUGGAGGGAAGAGAGGCUCCAAUGACCUUCUGAGCUGUUCUCACUAUCCGUUGUAGGGUAUUGCGAUCCGAUAUGGUGCAGUUACCAUGCCAGACAGCGAUGCAGCUGCUCAGGAAGCUCUUGAUAGUCCCUCUGUAGAAGGUGUUCCGAAUGGGUGUUGGGUUUUUCUCAGCUUCUGCAGGAAGUAGAGACACUGUUGGGCCUUCUUAGUUAUGAAACUGGUAUUGAGGGACCAGGAGAGCCUCUCCGCCAGGUGAACACCAAGUUGGUGCUCUUGACGACCUCCACAGAGAAUCCGUCGAUGUUAAGUGGACCGUGAUCUCCGUGCAGUCUCCUGAUGUGCAAAACAAAAUGCAUCACGGGAAGUCUUAACAAUAUAACAUUACCAUAUGUUGUGGAUCUGAACUAAGAGAGGCUGUACAUCUACAGUUUUCAGGCUGAACUGCAGCUAUCCCAUUAUACUCACCCCUAACUCAAAUGCUAGAAUUCCUAUUCUACAAAUGGGCUCCACCGCCAACAAGAGCUGGAAGUCUUGCAGUCUUCCUUCAGGCAUCCUCACACAUCUUUUACAUUUCACUGCUGCGUUUUAGCAGGGAAUAAAUCGGAGCCUGAGGCAGUCAUGGAGUGUCAUAUCCAGGUGAAAAUGGCGGCUGUGCUACGUUUCAUCCCAUCUGCAGUCUGCUUUGCUGUCUUAGACGCACAUGAUGGGGCUUUCCUGUGCUGGUUUCUCUCUGCAUGUGUGGACUAUGCAUGCUAAUGCUCUCCACACAAAUACACUCACUGCUUGUUGCAUUUUUAAAUCCAAACUUCUGAACUGCAGUAGCCCGUAGUAUGGUGACCUUCAAGAAUGUCAUUUUGCCAUUUCCAU